rnacentral:rRNA from 1 species
UGGCUCAGGAUCAACUCCGGCGGUGUGCCUAAUACAUGCAAGUCGUACGCACUGGCCCAACUGAUUGAUGGUGCUUGCACCUGAUUGACGAUGGAUUACCAGUGAGUGGCGGACGGGUGAGUAACACGUAGGUAACCUGCCCCGGAGCGGGGGAUAACAUUUGGAAACAGAUGCUAAUACCGCAUAACAACAAAAGCCACAUGGCUUUUGUUUGAAAGAUGGCUUUGGCUAUCGCUCUGGGAUGGACCUGCGGUGCAUUAGCUAGUUGGUAAGGUAACGGCUUACCAAGGCGAUGAUGCAUAGCCGAGUUGAGAGACUGAUUGGCCACAAUGGAACUGAGACACGGUCCAUACUCCUACGGGAGGCAGCAGUAGGGAAUCUUCCACAAUGGGCGCAAGCCUGAUGGAGCAACACCGCGUGAGUGAAGAAGGGUUUCGGCUCGUAAAGCUCUGUUGUUGGAGAAGAACGUGCGUGAGAGUAACUGUUCACGCAGUGACGGUAUCCAACCAGAAAGUCACGGCUAACUACGUGCCAGCAGCCGCGGUAAUACGUAGGUGGCAAGCGUUAUCCGGAUUUAUUGGGCGUAAAGCGAGCGCAGGCGGUUGCUUAGGUCUGAUGUGAAAGCCUUCGGCUUAACCGAAGAAGUGCAUCGGAAACCGGGCGACUUGAGUGCAGAGGAGGGCAGUGGAACUCCAAGUGUAGCGGUGGAAUGCGUAGAUAUAUGGAAGAACACCAGUGGCGAAGGCGGCUGUCUGGUCUGCAACUGACGCUGAGGCUCUAAAGCAUGGGUAGCGAACAGGAUUAGAUACCCUGGUAGUCCAUGCCGUAAACGAUGAGUGCUAGGUGUUGGAGGGUUUCCGCCCUUCAGUGCCGGAGCUAACGCAUUAAGCACUCCGCCUGGGGAGUACGACCGCAGGGUUGCAACUCAAAGGAAUUGACGGA